CGGGAGGCAGAUACUUGGACAGUUCUAAGCAGUGGUCUGUCCAUCACUGGUCCUCCCCAUAGCAUCCCUGCUCUCUGAUGACUGUGGUGAAUUGAGAGAAAUCACUACAGACAGAUACGGAGCAGACACUG